rnacentral:rRNA from 1 species
AACGCGAAGAACCUUACCUAGACUUGACAUCUCCUGAAUUACUCUUAAUCGAGGAAGUCACUUCGGUGACAGGAAGACAGGUGGUGCAUGGUUGUCGUCAGCUCGUGUCGUGAGAUGUUGGGUUAAGUCCCGCAACGAGCGCAACCCCUAUUGUUAGUUGCUACCAUUUAGUUGAGCACUCUAGCGAGACUGCCCGGGUUAACCGGGAGGAAGGUGGGGAUGACGUCAAAUCAUCAUGCCCCUUAUGUCUAGGGCUACACACGUGCUACAAUGGCUGGUACAGAGAGAUGCGAUACCGUGAGGUGGAGCCAAACUUUAAAACCAGUCUCAGUUCGGAUUGUAGGCUGAAACUCGCCUACAUGAAGCUGGAGUUGCUAGUAAUCGCGAAUCAGAACGUCACGGUGAAUACGUUCCCGGGCCUUGUACACACCGCCCGU